UGGGGAAUAUUGCACAAUGGGCGCAAGCCUGAUGCAGCCAUGCCGCGUGUAUGAAGAAGGCCUUCGGGUUGUAAAGUACUUUCAGCGAGGAGGAAGGCGUUGUGGUUAAUAACCGCAGCGAUUGACGUUACUCGCAGAAGAAGCACCGGCUAACUCCGUGCCAGCAGCCGCGGUAAUACGGAGGGUGCAAGCGUUAAUCGGAAUUACUGGGCGUAAAGCGCACGCAGGCGGUCUGUCAAUUCGGAUGUGAAAUCCCCGGGCUCAACCUGGGAACUGCAUCCGAAACUGGCAGGCUAGAGUCUUGUAGAGGGGGGUAGAAUUCCAGGUGUAGCGGUGAAAUGCGUAGAGAUCUGGAGGAAUACCGGUGGCGAAGGCGGCCCCCUGGACAAAGACUGACGCUCAGGUGCGAAAGCGUGGGGAGCAAACA
rnacentral:rRNA from 1 species